GACGAACGCUGGCGGCGUGCUUAACACAUGCAAGUCGAGCGGGAACCUCGGGAGGGGUAACCCUUCCGAGGGGAGAGCGGCGAACGGGUGAGUAACACGUGGGCAACCUGCCCCGGACACCGGGAUAACCCAGGGAAACCUGAGCUAAUACCGGAUACUCCGGCACGAUCGCAUGGUCGUGCCGGGAAAGCUCCGACGGUCCGGGAUGGGCCCGCGGCCUAUCAGCUUGUUGGUGAGGUAACGGCCCACCAAGGCGACGACGGGUAGCUGGUCUGAGAGGACGGCCAGCCACACUGGGACUGAGACACGGCCCAGACUCCUACGGGAGGCAGCAGUGGGGAAUCUUGCGCUAAUGCGCGAAAGCGUGACGCAGCGACGCCGCGUGGGGAUGAAGGCCCUCGGGUUGUAAACCCCUUUCGCCAGGGAAGAAGGGAAACUGACGGUACCUGGAGAAGAAGUCCCGGCUAACUACGUGCCAGCCGCCGCGGUAAC
rnacentral:rRNA from 1 species